rnacentral:tmRNA from 1 species
GGGGAUGUAUAGCUUAGACGCAACAGCUCUUUAACAACUGCAGACCAUCUUUGAUCAGAAAGAUGUUAAACAAGAUCAAACAAAUAACUGUCAAAUCUUUAGGCAGCAAGGUUGUUGCCGCUAUGGAUAGGGUUUCUAACCUUAUUUUUGGCGCUCCAGCCCCCGCUUUCGCGUAAGCGAAUCGGCAUCUACUAGCUCUUUCUCACUGAUGAAGGCUUUUAGGUGACAACCCAGUCAGUGUGACGGCUUAACAUUUCAUGCUCUGUUAAGUUUAAGUCUUAAGCAUGGCUGCAGAAAAACAGUUUGUUUAUUAACUGUUUCUGCUUGAGCAAAAAUAAACUAUGUCUGUAGAAGUUGUUUUCUAGUUAGUUGUCGGACAGGGGGUCACUCCCCCUCAUCUCCACAU